UCGAGGACCCAUGUGUGUUUUCUACACUGCCUGAAUUGUCCCCAACGCCGGCGCCCCCCGACGGGAUUUUCCGCGGCGGUUCCGGUGCCGUGCACACGGGCUGUGGGGUCCCCACGGGCCGCCAUCUUGCGAGUGCCUUGUCGCGGAGUCGCUUGAAAAGUGCUGCCGCCUUGUGGACGGAGGCCGGUACUGCAGCUCCCCGGCCAGCGCCGGGCCAAAAACCACCGAGACGGCGCGGGAGUGUUGUUGUUAAUUUAAGGUGUUUUUGAUGUAUUUGGUUUGUAGAGCAGGAACUGUAGACAGAAUCACGCAGAAGUAGUAUGGAACUUGUCCUCCUAAAACCCGCCCGGCUUCCAAGCACUUUUAGCCCGUGGUCUUCCUUAGCAGCACAUGGUUCCCCUACGCUUGAGAGCUGGUGCGCUUACUUUUCUCUCCGCCUUUGCUGACAGAUCCUGCUGAAGCUGAGGACAAAGCCCUACCCCUACACGGACAAGACAGCAGACCUGGUUCAGGAAGCCAGCAUGCUCCAGGUUGCUCCAGGACUCUGAUAACAUCAGCAUCCCUGUCUCUCACAUUGAUGAUGUCGUGGAUAUGCUGGCUGUUCUGAUGGAGGGCAGUGAUGGCUUAGAUGAAGAAAUUGGGUUCUCUUUAAAUGAAGACGUGAUUAUCCAAACAUUUCCCUUCAGUGCUGUUGUCCCUGCAGCAUUAGAAGCCAGGAAUAUGCUGUUGCUUCAGUCUGAAAACGGAACAGGUACAGGUGUUUUUUUAUGUUUUAUGUGUCAUUUCUAGCAGUGGAGUGAAAGUGGCAUCAUUUCUACCCUCUUGUAAUAAUUUUUUACCAUUUAUCAUUUUUUACCUUGAGGCAUUUCAUUAUCUUCCCUGCAAGCAGAAGGAGGUGCAGGUUCAUGGUGUUUUGUGCUCAAGAGGGGCAUUGAACCUCUGUAGGUGCUUCUGCCCUUUUUCCGUGGCCCUAAAGAGAAGGGACGCUGUCCAUGCAUGGGCAGUCUUGGUCUGGA